rnacentral:tRNA from 1 species
GCAAGAUUGAUGUAAUUGGUAGCAUGACAGUCUCCAAAACUGUUUGUUUAGGUUCAAAUCCUAAGUCUUGUGCCA